GAUGAACGCUGGCGGCGUGCCUAAUACAUGCAAGUCGAGCGAACGGACGAGAAGCUUGCUCCUCUGAUGUUAGCGGCGGACGGGUGAGUAACACGUGGAUAACCUACCUAUAAGACUGGGAUAACUUCGGGAAACCGGAGCUAAUACCGGAUAAUAUUUUGAACCGCAUGGUUCAAAAGUGAAAGACGGUCUUGCUGUCACUUAUAGAUGGAUCCGCGCUGCAUUAGCUAGUUGGUAAGGUAACGGCUUACCAAGGCAACGAUGCAUAGCCGACCUGAGAGGGUGAUCGGCCCAACUGAAACUGAGACACGGUCCAGCUCCCUAGGGGAGGCGGCAGUAGGAAUUCUCCGGAAUGGGGGGAAGCCCUGACGGAGAAAGGCGGGGGAGGGAAGGAAGGUCUCCGGAUCGUAAAACCUUGUUAUUGGGGAAAAACAUAUGUGUAAGUAACAGGGCAGAUCUGGCCGGAACCAAACCAGAAGGCCACGCCUAACUCCUG
rnacentral:rRNA from 1 species